UGCAAGUCGAGCGGGACCGACGGGAGCUUGCUCCCUUAGGUCAGCGGCGGACGGGUGAGUAACACGUGGGUAACCUGCCUGUAAGACUGGGAUAACUCCGGGAAACCGGGGCUAAUACCGGAUGCUUGAUUGAACCGCAUGGUUCAAUUAUAAAAGGUGGCUUUUAACUUCCACUUACCGAUGGACCCGCGGCGCAAUAACUAGUUGGUGAGGUAACGGCUCACCAAGGCGACCAUUCGUAACCCACCUGAGAGGGUGAUCGGCCACACUGGGACUGAAACACGGCCCAAACUCCUACCGGAGGCAGCAAUAGGGAAUCUUCCCCAAUGGACGAAAGUCUGACCGAACAACCCCCCGUGAGUGAUGAAAGUUUUCCGAUCCUAAAACUCUUUUGUUAGGGAAAAAACAAGUACCGUUCGAAUAAGGCGGUACCUUGACCGUACCUAACCAGAAAGCCACGGCUAACUACCUGCCAACAC
rnacentral:rRNA from 1 species